UGGGGAAUCUUGGACAAUGGGGGCAACCCUGAUCCAGCCAUGCCGCGUGAGUGAUGAAGGCCUUAGGGUCGUAAAGCUCUUUCGCCUGUGAAGAUAAUGACGGUAGCAGGUAAAGAAACCCCGGCUAACUCCGUGCCAGCAGCCGCGGUAAUACGGAGGGGGUUAGCGUUGUUCGGAAUUACUGGGCGUAAAGCGCACGUAGGCGGACCAGAAAGUUGGGGGUGAAAUCCCGGGGGCUCAACCCCGGAACUGCCUCCAAAACUAUUGGUCUAGAGUUCGAGAGAGGUGAGUGGAAUUCCAAGUGUAGAGGUGAAAUUCGUAGAUAUUUGGAGGAACACCAGUGGCGAAGGCGGCUCACUGGCUCGAUACUGACGCUGAGGUGCGAAAGUGUGGGGAGCAAACAGGAUUAGAUACCCUGGGUAGUCCACACCGUAAAACGAUGAAUGCCAGUCGUCGGGUAGCAUGCU
rnacentral:rRNA from 1 species